UACAGAGGGUGCGAGCGUUAAUCGGAAUUACUGGGCGUAAAGCGCGCGUAGGCGGCUUUGCAAGUCGGGUGUGAAAUCCCCAGGCUUAACCUGGGAACUGCAUUCGAGACUGCAUUGCUAGAGUAUGGGAGAGGGAAGUGGAAUUUCCGGUGUUGCGGUGAAAUGCGUAGAUAUCGGAAGGAACAUCAGUGGCGAAAGCGACUUCCUGGACCAAUACUGACGCUCAUGUGCGAAAGCGUGGGGAGCAAACAGG
rnacentral:rRNA from 1 species